rnacentral:rRNA from 1 species
UCCCUAUCUGCCGUGGGCGUUGGAAGAUUGAAGGGGGCUGCUCCUAGUACGAGAGGACCGGAGUGGACGAACCUCUGGUGUUCGGGUUGUGUCGCCAGACGCAUUGCCCGGUAGCUAAGUUCGGAAUUGAUAACCGCUGAAAGCAUCUAAGCGGGAAGCGAGCCCUGAGAUGAGUCUUCCCUGAUACUUUAAGUAUCCUAAAGGGUUGUUCGAGACUAGAACGUUGAUAGGCAGGGUGUGUAAGCGCUGUGAGGCGUUGAGCUAACCUGUACUAAUUGCCCGUGAGGCUUAACCAUACAACACCCAAAGGGUUUUG